rnacentral:lncRNA from 1 species
GCUCCGCAUGCUCUUCCAGCCGGGCGGGCGCCCCGAGCCUCCGCGCGAGACGAGCAAUCGCAACCCCUCGCCGCUCCCGACGCCCAGAGUGUCGCGGUGCUCGGGUCGUUGGACAGCAGGUGGAAGCCGGCGGGCAGCGCCUUGCAGGCCUCCGAGCCGCCGACGGCGAGCAGCAGCUCCCUCGAGUACGUGAUCCUCUUCGCCCGCCCCUCCUCCUCCCUGGCAUCCAUCGGCCGGUCAGAUUAAUCAGAUCAGUGUAAGGAAGGAACUAACCAUGCGUGCCUCGAUUGAUUGCCCGCGCUGCCUGACGGUGGCGGCAUGAACCAGCGCGCGUGCCUACCUGGGCAUGGCGACGGGGGUAGGGAUAGUGGCAUCGUCACGAGGCACCCAGCCCAUCUCGCCGGCACCGGAAGUUCAGUCUAAG